GAUGAGGACUUGACAAAAUGGCUGCCUCCUGAUCUGUCUGUGGAUGUGUGGCUCCAGGAGAGUCCGAAGACAGCUGAAUGGAUCCGUCUAUACAAAACAACCUUCGCUGACCUUUGUUCAUCUGCCUAUAUUUGUUGGAUUUAAAGCUGAUUUAAUUUUUUUUUUUUUACUGUUCCCAUUUAUUUGUACUUUAAAAAUGAAAAGCUUUAUUAACACAUGUAAAAGGACUAGACCCAUGUUUCAGUUGUCUAGCCCCGCCCCUCUAAUAAACUGGUAGAAUUAGGUUGUGUCUAGCCCUGCCCCUCUAAUAAACUGGUAGAAUUAGGUUGCAUCUAGCCCUGCCCCUCUAAUAAACUGGUAGAAUUAGGUUGUGUCUAGCCCCGCCCCUCUAAUAAACUGGUGAAAUUAGGUUGUUGUAUCUAGCCCCGCCCCUCUCAUAAACUGGUGAAAUUAGGUUGUUGUAUCUAGCCCUGCCCGUCUAAUAAACUGGUGAAAUUAGGUU